UACGUAGGGGGCUAGCGUUGUCCGGAAUCAUUGGGCGUAAAGAGCGCGUAGGCGGCUCGGUAAGUCCGCUGUGAAAACCCGGGGCUCAACCCCGGGCCUGCAGUCGAUACGGGCAGACUAGAGUGCGGUAGGGGAGACUGGAAUUCCGUGGUGUAGCGGUGAAAUGCGCAGAUAUCGGGAGGAACACCGGUGGCGAAGGCGGUUCUGACUGG
rnacentral:rRNA from 1 species